rnacentral:rRNA from 1 species
CUACGGGGGGCACCAGUGGGGAAUAUUGCACAAUGGGCGCAAGCCUGAUGCAGCCAUGCCGCGUGUAUGAAGAAGGCCUUCGGGUUGUAAAGUACUUUCAGCGGGGAGGAAGGGAGUAAAGUUAAUACCUUUGCUCAUUGACGUUACCCGCAGAAGAAGCACCGGCUAACUCCGUGCCAGGCAGCCGCGGUAAUACGGAGGGUGCAAGCGUUAAUCGGAAUUACUGGGCGUAAAGCGCACGCAGGCGGUUUGUUAAGUCAGAUGUGAAAUCCCCGGGCUCAACCUGGGAACUGCAUCUGAUACUGGCAAGCUUGAGUCUCGUAGAGGGGGGUAGAAUUCCAGGUGUAGCGGUGAAAUGCGUAGAGAUCUGGAGGAAUACCGGUGGCGAAGGCGGCCCCCUGGACGAAGACUGACGCUCAGGUGCGAAAGCGUGGGGAGCAAACAGGAUUAGAUACCCUCGUAGUC